GCAAGCUUAACACAUGCAAGUCGAGGGGCAGCGAGUAGAUUGCUUGCAAUCUAUGUCGGCGACCGGCGCACGGGUGCGUAACGCGUAUGCAACCUACCCAUUACAGGGGGAUAACACUGAGAAAUCGGUACUAAUACCCCAUAACAUCCAGGGAGGCAUCUUCUUGGGUUGAAAACUCCGGUGGUAAUGGAUGGGCAUGCGUUGUAUUAGUUAGUUGGUGGGGUAACGGCUCACCAAGACAACGAUACAUAGGGGGACUGAGAGGUUAACCCCCCACAUUGGUACUGAGACACGGACCAAACUCCUACGGGAGGCAGCAGUGAGGAAUAUUGGUCAAUGGACGCAAGUCUGAACCAGCCAUGCCGCGUGCAGGAAGACGGCUCUAUGAGUUGUAAACUGCUUUUGUACGAGGGUAAACGCAGAUACGUGUAUCUGUCUGAAAGUAUCGUACGAAUAAGGAUCGGCUAACUCCGUGCCAGCAGCCGCGGUAAUACGGAGGAUUCAAGCGUUAUCCGGAUUUAUUGGGUUUAAAGGGUGCGUAGGCGGUCGGAUAAGUUAGAGGUGAAAUCCCGAGGCUCAACUUCGGAAUUGCCUCUGAUACUGUUCGGCUAGAGAGUAGUUGCGGUAGGCGGAAUGUAUGGUGUAGCGGUGAAAUGCUUAGAGAUCAUACAGAACACCGAUUGCGAAGGCAGCUUACCAAGCUACUUCUGACGUUGAGGCACGAAAGCGUGGGGAGCAAACAGGAUUAGAUACCCUGGUAGUCCACGCAGUAAACGAUGAUAACUCGUUGUCGGCGAUACAAUGUCGGUGACUAAGCGAAAGCGAUAAGUUAUCCACCUGGGGAGUACGUUCGCAAGAAUGAAACUCAAAGGAAUUGACGGGGGCCCGCACAAGCGGAGGAACACGUGGUUUAAUUCGAUGAUACGCGAGGAACCUUACCCGGGCUUGAAAGUUAGUGACAGAUCUGGAAACAGGUCUUCCCUUCGGGGCACGAAACUAGGUGCUGCAUGGUUGUCGUCAGCUCGUGCCGUGAGGUGUCGGGUUAAGUCCCAUAACGAGCGCAACCCCUACCGUCAGUUGCCAGCAGGUCAAGCUGGGCACUCUGGCGGGACUGCCGGUGUAAGCCGAGAGGAAGGUGGGGAUGACGUCAAAUCAGCACGGCCCUUACGUCCGGGGCUACACACGUGUUACAAUGGCAGGUACAGAGGGCAGCUACCCAGCGAUGGGAUGCGAAUCUCGAAAGCCUGUCUCAGUUCGGAUUGGAGGCUGAAACCCGCCUCCAUGAAGUUGGAUUCGCUAGUAAUCGCGCAUCAGCCAUGGCGCGGUGAAUACGUUCCCGGGCCU
rnacentral:rRNA from 1 species